CCUACGGGUGGCAGCAGUGGGGAAUAUUGCACAAUGGGGGAAACCCUGAUGCAGCGACGCCGCGUGAGUGAAGAAGUAAUUCGUUAUGUAAAGCUCCAUCAGCAGGGAAGAAAAUGACGGUACUUGAGUAAGAAGCCCCGGCUAACUAGGUGCCAGCAGCCGCGGUAAUUCGGAGGGGGCAAGCGUUAUCCGGAUUUACUGGGGGUAAAGGGAGCGUAGGCGGCUGUGCAAGUCCGGAGUGAAAGGCGGGGGCCCAACCCCCGGACUGCUGUGGAAACUGUACGGCGGGAGUGCAGGAGAGGUAAGUGGAAUGCGUGGUGUAGCGGCGAAAUGCGUAGAUAUUAGGCGGAACCCCAGUGGCGAAGGCGGCUUACUGGACUGUAACUGACGUUGAGGCUCGAAAGCGUGGGGAGCAAACAGGAUUAGAUACCCGGGUAGUC
rnacentral:rRNA from 1 species